AACGAACGCUGGCGGCAGGCCUAACACAUGCAAGUCGAACGCCGUAGCAAUACGGAGUGGCAGACGGGUGAGUAACGCGUGGGAACAUACCCCUCGGUUCGGAAUAACUCAGGGAAACUUGAGCUAAUACCGGAUACGUCCGAGGUUUUAAUCGACCUUGGAGAAAGAUUUAUCGCCGGAGGAUUGGCCCGCGUCUGAUUAGCUUGUUGGUGAGGUAAUGGCUCACCAAGGCGACGANCAGUAGCUGGUCUGAGAGGAUGAUCAGCCACAUUGGGACUGAGACACGGCCCAAACUCCUACGGGAGGCAGCAGUGGGGAAUAUUGGACAAUGGGCGAAAGCCUGAUCCAGCCAUGCCGCGUGAGUGAUGAAGGCCUUAGGGUUGUAAAGCUCUUUACCCGGGAAGAUAAUGACGGUACCGGGAGAAUAAGCCCCGG
rnacentral:rRNA from 1 species